GCCUCGGUAGUGUAUUGGAUUAGCACAGCAGACCAGACAUAUGUAUGUGCCGGUUCAAAUCCCGCUUGAGGUU
rnacentral:tRNA from 1 species